GAGAGCGAAGAGAAGAGAGAUGAAGAAUACAAGUACGCAUGCGUCCAUGUUUGAAGAUAUAUAGAUUGUGUAGAUGCUGCUGGAGGGAAGAACGGAGCCAUACGUCAGAAGAAUAUUAGUAUAUGCGUGUUCGUCAGAUUCUAUACAAAGAUGAUGGAGUAUUGGAGUUUCAUCUUCUGGCAGAAUAUUAUUAUAAAGGACAAAUCAUAUUAUCCGAGGCAAGUGGUUACUUUGCUAACUCCUUAAAUCCUAUCUUAUUGUUGUCUCCUGUGAUCAUCGUUCUGAUUAUGUUGCUAGACCUUGAAUCUUAUUUAUCCUCUGUUGAUUCCUGUUUUAUUUGAGGACAUGUUGUCCUUGAUAAUUCAUUUGUUGAAGGACAUGUUGUCCUUGAUGAUCCAUUUGUUGAUGGAAAGUCUGAUAUGAGAGGAACUCAUGUAAAGGCAUGGGUUUAUUGUCUUGGCUGAUAUUUCAGUGAUCCUAUAUAGCUGAUCCAGCCACAUGUCAUAUUCUGUCCAUCUAUAUUGGUGUCACGACGGCAAACGUAUUGUACCGGUCACAGUUCAGGUAUGGGACUGUCUGAGUUCUCCGCUAAGGACGGACCUUGUUCGGGAACAUGUCGGUGAUGGAUCCGUAGGAGCGAUCGACAUCAGUAUGUCCAGGUGUCCGAGUCUUAGUGAGCACUAGAGCUCUGCUCUACUAGAGCCUGCGUGGUUCUAGUCGAGGCUGUCGACGUCGGAGUACCCCUCUUAAGAGCGUAAAAGUGUGAAAUUUCACCCCUGUGACUCCCGGGUUAGGAAGCUUGCGGUCAUGUGUGACGCCAAUAAUUUCUUGGUCCAUUUUCAUUAUAUCCGGUUAUGUUGUUCUUUUACCUAUUUUCAAUUAAAUUGGCUCCAACAAUUUGUCACGUUAUUUAUGCUCCUUUAGAUAUAGUCAACCUGUUGUUACUGUAUCAAUAUCCUUAAAUUCUACUCUUGUUGAAUAGUGAAGUACCUACUUGCUGAGUAUGACUUGUCGUACUCACCCUUGCUUUCUCUGUUGUUUUCUAGAUGCAGACAAUGUAACUUAAGCAUGCCGAGAAGAUGUCGUCGAAUAAUAGGUUGGACCAAUGGGUGGGAAACGACUAGAAAAUAUCAUUUUUUUUGGCUAUCUGUAAAUGUAAAGGAAUUUGUAUAGUUAAUAUAUGAGCUUUUGUGAUCCAC
rnacentral:lncRNA from 1 species